rnacentral:rRNA from 1 species
UACGUAGGUCCCGAGCGUUGUCCGGAUUUAUUGGGCGUAAAGCAAGCGCAGGUGGUUUAUUAAGUCUGGUGUAAAAGGCAGUGGCUCAACCAUUGUAUGCAUUGGAAACUGGUAGACUUGAGUGCAGGAGAGGAGAGUGGAAUUCCAUGUGUAGCGGUGAAAUGCGUAGAUAUAUGGAGGAACACCGGUGGCGAUAGCGGCUCUCUGGCCUGUAACUGACACUGAGGCUCGAAAGCGUGGGGAGCAAACAGG